rnacentral:rRNA from 1 species
AUUGAACGCUGGCGGCAGGCCUAACACAUGCAAGUCGAACGAGUAGCGGGGGGGUGAGUAAUGUCUGGGAACAUGCCCGUUGGAUAGGGAUAACUACUGGAAACGGUAGCGAAAACCGCAUACCAUCGGCUUUGCCCAGAUGGGAUUAGCUUGUAGGUGGGGUAACGGCUCACCUAGGCGACGAUCCCUAGCUGGGCGGAGAGGAUGAACAGCCACACUGGAACUGAGACACGGGCCAGACUCCUACGGGAGGAAGCAGUGGGGAAUAUUGCACAAUGGGCGCAAGCCUGAUGCAGCCACGCCGCGUGUAUGAAGAAGGCCUUCGGGUUGUAAAGUACUGUCAGCGGGGAGGCGUUACCCGCAGAAGAAGCACCGGCUAACUCCGUGCCAGCAGCCGCGGUAAUUC